GAUGAACGCUAGCUACAGGCUUAACACAUGCAAGUCGAGGGGCAGCAUGGUCUUAGCUUGCUAAGGCCGAUGGCGACCGGCGCACGGGUGAGUAACACGUAUCCAACCUGCCGUCUACUCUUGGACAGCCUUCUGAAAGGAAGAUUAAUACAAGAUGGCAUCAUGAGUCCGCAUGUUCACAUGAUUAAAGGUAUUCCGGUAGACGAUGGGGAUGCGUUCCAUUAGAUAGUAGGCGGGGUAACGGCCCACCUAGUCUUCGAUGGAUAGGGGUUCUGAGAGGAAGGUCCCCCACAUUGGAACUGAGACACGGUCCAAACUCCUACGGGAGGCAGCAGUGAGGAAUAUUGGUCAAUGGGCGAGAGCCUGAACCAGCCAAGUAGCGUGAAGGAUGACUGCCCUAUGGGUUGUAAACUUCUUUUAUAAAGGAAUAAAGUCGGGUAUGGAUACCCGUUUGCAUGUACUUUAUGAAUAAGGAUCGGCUAACUCCGUGCCAGCAGCCGCGGUAAUACGGAGGAUCCGAGCGUUAUCCGGAUUUAUUGGGUUUAAAGGGAGCGUAGAUGGAUGUUUAAGUCAGUUGUGAAAGUUUGCGGCUCAACCGUAAAAUUGCAGUUGAUACUGGAUAUCUUGAGUGCAGUUGAGGCAGGCGGGAUUCGUGGUGUAGCGGUGAAAUGCUUAGAUAUCACGAAGAACUCCGAUUGCGAAGGCAGCCUGCUAAGCUGCAACUGACAUUGAGGCUCGAAAGUGUGGGUAUCAAACAGGAUUAGAUACCCUGGUAGUCCACACGGUAAACGAUGAAUACUCGCUGUUUGCGAUAUACUGCAAGCGGCCAAGCGAAAGCGUUAAGUAUUCCACCUGGGGAGUACGCCGGCAACGGUGAAACUCAAAGGAAUUGACGGGGGCCCGCACAAGCGGAGGAACAUGUGGUUUAAUUCGAUGAUACGCGAGGAACCUUACCCGGGCUUAAAUUGCAGAUGAAUUACGGUGAAAGCCGUAAGCCGCAAGGCAUCUGUGAAGGUGCUGCAUGGUUGUCGUCAGCUCGUGCCGUGAGGUGUCGGCUUAAGUGCCAUAACGAGCGCAACCCUUGUUGUCAGUUACUAACAGGUUCCGCUGAGGACUCUGACAAGACUGCCAUCGUAAGAUGUGAGGAAGGUGGGGAUGACGUCAAAUCAGCACGGCCCUUACGUCCGGGGCUACACACGUGUUACAAUGGGGGGUACAGAGGGCCGCUACCACGCGAGUGGAUGCCAAUCCCCAAAACCUCUCUCAGUUCGGACUGGAGUCUGCAACCCGACUCCACGAAGCUGGAUUCGCUAGUAAUCGCGCAUCAGCCACGGCGCGGUGAAUACGUUCCCGGGCCU
rnacentral:rRNA from 1 species